UGCUGGUACUUUGAACUCAACAUGUUGAAAAUCAGAACCUGUGACCUCUCUCUCCUCCUCUGUCCCUUCCUAGUGGCCGAGACUCCGCUGUUGUGUUGUCUUUGUAUCUGCAGGGCCUGAUCUGUCCUGGGCUCCCUCUGAGUGUUCAUUGAAGGUGGAGUGAGAAGAGGAGGGAAGAGGGAAGAAGAGGAAAGAAGUAUGAAGGGGGAAAAAUAAAGAAGAAAAUUAUGAAGGCAACAGAGAAGAGAAGGGAAUUGAGGAGAGGCAAAGAAGAGGGUAGUUAAGAGAGUCAGAAGAAUAUUUUAGACCACAGAUUUUGCUGCCUCUGAUAAGAAGACAGGAAAAUGAGUCUGUUAAAACCCAUCCAAUUGUGAAAAAAAGACACCUGUUCCAAAGAUGGCCAGUGACAUCAUCCAGAAAGGAAGCUCAUGUUUGAAGCUUGUAGAAGCUCAUUUCUACUCUGGAGAAGUGGAACAUCUUGCCAAAGAGCCAAACUCAUUCCUUUUGGGGCAGCUUAAUUUCGCAAGCUUUAUGCUAAUUACUGUUGUACAGAUUUGGCAGCUUUACAAAAAUUUUAUACUUGUAUGUGCAAGUUCAAGAAAUCUAUUUCAAUGGCUCAGAGUUAGGCUAUGAAGGCGUUUCAGACAAUGCCAACUAUAGUAAUGCUUGCUUUUUUUUUUUUUUAAACCUGUGAGUAGCUUAUAAUUUACAGUUUCAUAGGAAUUUGCUUAACAAAUGUGGACGUGGUUAGUUGUCUGCCUUCCAAAACCCAAACCUAUAUUUCUUCAUAUCCUAGGAUGUUGUCUGUCAGAUGACAAGUUUUUUCAGAAACCCGAGAAGGCCAUCUUUGGGGUGGGUGUUGUCCCUGUACUUCAUGAAUUCUACUCACAGCAGGCCUUCAGCAAUAUAGAGGCUCCGUUUUCAAUAUCCAGAAUUCAUGAAAGGGCAAAGAUUCACAAGUCAUGACAGAGCAAAAAGAAAAGAGUAAACAACACAAUGGAGAUAGACUAAGUGCUUAUUUCCAUGUGCCAAGGAGGGUUGGGAGAGAAUUAUUUAAGUAAUAACCCUUCUCUUUUUUGGGGGGAGUGGGAGUACCAGGGAUUGUACUCAGGGGCACGCAACAACUGAGCCACAUCCCCAGCCUUAUUUUGUAUUUUAUUUAGAAGACAGGGUCUCACUGAGUUGCUUAGUGCCUCGCUUUUACUGAGGCUGGCUUUGAACUUGGGAUUCUCCUGUCUGGGCCUCCCAAGCUACUGGGAUUACAGGUAUAAGUAACCCUUCUUGAUUAAAAAAAAAAAAAAUUAAAACAAGAUUGAAAGUGGCUUAAAGA
rnacentral:lncRNA from 1 species